AUUGAACGCUGGCGGCAGGCCUAACACAUGCAAGUCGAGCGGAUGAGUGGAGCUUGCUCCAUGAUUCAGCGGCGGACGGGUGAGUAAUGCCUAGGAAUCUGCCUGGUAGUGGGGGACAACGUUUCGAAAGGAACGCUAAUACCGCAUACGUCCUACGGGAGAAAGCAGGGGACCUUCGGGCCUUGCGCUAUCAGAUGAGCCUAGGUCGGAUUAGCUAGUAGGUGAGGUAAAGGCUCACCUAGGCGACGAUCCGUAACUGGUCUGAGAGGAUGAUCAGUCACACUGGAACUGAGACACGGUCCAGACUCCUACGGGAGGCGGCAGUGGGGAAUAGUGGACAAUGGGCGAAAGCCUGAUCCAGCCAUGCCGCGUGUGUGAAGAAGGUCUUCGGAUUGUAAAGCACUUUAAGUUGGGAGGAAGGGCAGUAAGUUAAUACCUUGCUGUUUUGACGUUACCAACAGAAUAAGCACCGGCUAACUUCGUGCCAGCCGCCGCAGUAA
rnacentral:rRNA from 1 species